rnacentral:rRNA from 1 species
UACGUAGGGGGCAAGCGUUGUCCGGAUUUAUUGGGCGUAAAGAGCGUGUAGGCGGCUAGGUAGGUCCGUUGUGAAAACUCGAGGCUCAACCUCGAGACGUCGAUGGAAACCAUCUGGCUAGAGUCCGGAAGAGGAGAGUGGAAUUCCUGGUGUAGCGGUGAAAUGCGCAGAUAUCAGGAAGAACACCCGUGGCGAAGGCGGCUCUCUGGUACGUGACUGACGCUGAGACGCGAAAGCGUGGGGAGCGAGCAGG